rnacentral:misc_RNA from 1 species
GAUGAAGAACGUAGCGAAAUGCGAUAAGUAAUGUGAAUUGCAGAAUUCAGUGAAUCAUCGAAUCUUUGAACGCACAUUGCGCCCCUUGGUAUUCCGAGGGGCAUGCCUGUUCGAGCGUCAUUAUCACCCUCAAGCCUAGCUUGGUGUUGGGGUCUGCCGUAAGGCAGCCCUUAAUAUCAGUGGCAGUGCUGUCAGGCUCUAAGCGUAGUAAAUUCAUCGCUAUAGGGUCCUGGUGGUUACUCGCCAACAACCCCCCAUUUUUAAUGAUUGACCUCGGAUCAGGUAGGGAUACCCGCUGAACUUAAGCAUAUCAAUAAGCGGAGGA